UUUGCCCCUACAAGCAUUGCAGAAGUGGCUACUGUGUCAUAUGUGCAAUAGUAGGUGCCAGAGAAAAGAGAUUAUAUCUAUGCUCAGUAUUCUGACCUAUGAACAUGUGAAUGAUUAGUAGUCUAGAAU